rnacentral:rRNA from 1 species
UACGGAGGGUGCGAGCGUUGUCCGGAAUCACUGGGCGUAAAGGGCGCGUAGGCGGCCUGGUAAGUUGGGGGUGAAAUCUUGCGGCUUAACCGCAAGGCUGCCUUCUAAACUGUCAGGCUAGAGCACAGUAGAGGCAGGUGGAAUUCCCGGUGUAGCGGUGAAAUGCGUAGAGAUUGGGGAGAACAUCCGUGGCGAAAGCGCUCUGCUGGACUGCAACUGACAUUGAGGGACGAAAGCUAGGGGAGCGAAUGGG